GGGGGAACCCUGAUCCAGCCAUGCCGCGUGUGUGAAGAAGGCCUUUUGGUUGUAAAGCACUUUAAGCGAGGAGGAGGCUACUGGUAUUAAUACUACCGGAUAGUGGACGUUACUCGCAGAAUAAGCACCGGCUAACUCUGUGCCAGCAGCCGCGGUAAUACAGAGGGUGCGAGCGUUAAUCGGAUUUACUGGGCGUAAAGCGUGCGUAGGCGGCUUUUUAAGUCGGAUGUGAAAUCCCUGAGCUUAACUUAGGAAUUGCAUUCGAUACUGGGAGGCUAGAGUAUGGGAGAGGAUGGUAGAAUUCCAGGUGUAGCGGUGAAAUGCGUAGAGAUCUGGAGGAAUACCGAUGGCGAAGGCAGCCAUCUGGCCUAAUACUGACGCUGAGGUACGAAAGCAUGGGGAGCAAACAGGAUUAGAUACCCUGGUAGUCCAUGCCGUAAACGAUGUCUACUAGCCGUUGGGGCCUUUGAGGCUUUAGUGGCGCAGCUAACGCGAUAAGUAGACCGCCUGGGGAGU
rnacentral:rRNA from 1 species